rnacentral:rRNA from 1 species
CAGAUGGAUAACCGGGAGAAAUCCCGCCUAAUACAACAUAAUGCCGGGAGGGGACAUCCCCUGCCGGCCAAAGGGGGCGACCCCGGUCACGGAUGGGCAUGCGGCGCAUUAGGUAGUUGGUGGGGCAACGGCCCACCAAGCCGACGAUGCGUAGGGGUUCUGAGAGGAAGGUCCCCCACAUUGGAACUGAGACACGGCCCAAACUCCUACGGGAGGCAGCAGUGAGGAAUAUUGGUCAACGGCCGGAAGGCUGAACCAGCCAAGUCGCGUGAGGGAAUAAGGCCCUACGGGUCGUAAACCUCUUUUGCCAGGGAGCAAUGCCGUCCACGUGUGGACGGAAGGAGAGUACCUGGAGAAAAAGCAUCGGCUAACUCCGUGCCAGCAGCCGCGGUAAUACGGAGGAUGCGAGCGUUAUCCGGAUUUAUUGGGUUUAAAGGGUGCGUAGGCGGCCUGCCAAGUCAGCGGUAAAAUUGCGGGGCUCAACCCCGUACAGCCGUUGAAACUGCCGGGCUCGAGUGGGCGAGAAGUAUGCGGAAUGCGUGGUGUAGCGGUGAAAUGCAUAGAUAUCACGCAGAACCCCGAUUGCGAAGGCAGCAUACCGGCGCCCUACUGACGCUGAGGCACGAAAGUGCGGGGAUCAAACAGGAUUAGAUACCCUGGUAGUCCGCACAGUAAACGAUGAAUGCUAGCUGUCCGGGGGGAUUGACCCCUGGGUGGCACAG